ensembl:antisense Gm17058 predicted gene 17058
CUUCUGACUGAGAGAGCUUCUGACUGAGAGAGCUUCUGACUGAGAGAGCUUCUGACUGAGAGAGCUUCUGGACCGGACUGAGAAGUCAAUUCUGGAUAAGAUGGGGCCAUGUGACCAUUUUUCCCAACCUCGCUCUGCUGAUGUGCAAAUGUCAUUUAAUUCUGUGAUUUGCAAUUCAAUAAUGCCCAACAGAACAAACCCAGGGAGGCAGUGGAAUGGGCUGUGUCCUUUAUAACCUAGUCAGCAUCUAUAGCUGUUCUUCUCAGUGGUUCUGUCCUCGGGGGAGGGGGGUGGAUUUGUUAAUACUGGGCUAACAUGAUAUGACAUGGAGAAAGGCAGCCAGGCUACUUAUUUAAACAAAACAAAAUGAAAACUGCACUCAGAGCUGGGCAUGGUGGUGCAUGCCUUUGAUCCUAGCACUCAAGAGACAGAUCUCUUAGGCCAGCCUGGUCUACAGAGCAAGAUCCAGGAAAGCUAGGGCUACACAGAGUGGGGUAGGGCACACAAGCUGCUCUUAGUAGAUGUGGGGAAAACUGGGGUGGGUAGAUGGGGUGCUAUGUAGUAGAGAUACCAAGACUUCAUAAGAGGAAGAAGGAAGACAGGAAAAAGCUGGGCAAAGUGAUGCAUAUCAUUAAUUCCAGCACUGGUGAAGUAGAGACAGGGUGAGUUCAAGUGCUUUUAUUCUCUCUAGUCAAAAUGUUUAAAAGUUACUUUUCCUGUAAGUCUGUCUUAACCUUAUGGCUCCAAUCACUCAUUUCCUCAACAUUUUUUAUAACCUGUAAGUCAUAUAAUUUUCUUCUUGAUUUAUCAUCUGUGCUAAUUUUAAAAUCACAACAGUGUGAGAAUGAAUACAGUGUGCUGCACAUAUUUGGUACUUAGUGUCUGCUCC